rnacentral:rRNA from 1 species
UACGUAGGUGGCAAGCGUUAUCCGGAUUUAUUGGGUGUAAAGGGCGUGUAGGCGGGAGCGCAAGUCAGAUGUGAAAACUCAGGGCUCAACCCUGAGCCUGCAUUUGAAACUGUGUUUCUUGAGUGCUGGAGAGGCAAUCGGAAUCCCGUGUGUAGCGGUGAAAUGCGUAGAUAUACGGAGGAACACCAGUGGCGAAGGCGGAUUGCUGGACAGUAACUGACGCUGAGGCGCGAAAGCGUGGGGAGCAAACAGG